UCCAAAGCUUCAAACUCCUGUCUCAUGGCAACUUGCCAUGCUGGAACAGAUGCAGCCUGAGAAUAGUAUAGAGGCUCAGAUUCCAAAGACGAGGAAGAUGAGCCAGAAAAGGCAGGGAGUUGACAGACGUAAUCCUUAAGAUAGGAAGGAGGAUUAUGUUGUCUUUGAGAUUUUCUGGGAGCAGGAACAGAGGGAGAAGGAGCUAAAACAGUAGAUGGCCCAGCAGGACUCAAAGGAGUAGGAAAAGGCAGCUGCACAGAUGUGGGAGAAGAGGGAGGAGAGAGAGAAAUGGGAGAAUCAGAGGCAUCAUCAUCUUCUCCAGAUGGAAUGAAGGGAAAAGAAGAAGCAGGAGGAUGAGCAGAAGAAGGCACAGAUUUAAAAGGAAAAACUGAUUCAUGAAAGAGAACAUCCCUGGAGACCAAAUACUUCUUAGAUGCAAGAUCAUAUAAUCUAUAACAUCUCUGAAGACCAAAUACUUCUUAGAUGCAAGAUCAUAUAAUCUAUAGCCUUUUUGCCAAAAGGAUAUCCCAGGAAAACACAAGGAAUGGCUCUGGGCUUUAACUUGUCCC
rnacentral:lncRNA from 1 species